CUUCCCCUUAUUUUCUUUUUCUCUACGUUAGCUGAUCUUGGCCUAGGUCUCAGGCCUAGCGCGUUGUUGCUGCCAUCGCGACCGCCACUGCUGCUUCGAGAGUGCUUUCUCCUGAGCAAACUGGCGUUUCAUGACACAUUUUCGGUCGAACUUGGCCCAGAAAUAACCGAGUUGGAAAGUGAAUCAACCAGCAACGACAUCACUGCCGUCGAGUGAACCACAUCGUUCUCAUCUCCGAUGACGAGGACAAUGGAGUCUACUCCUGGAGAAUGGAAGGAUCAGAAACUUUACACUGCCAUGGAAAUUUGCCACCUAGUCGUUCCAUCUCUUUCUUCAUCUCGAUCUCUCGCGGAGACACUCGCGAUUCUCGAAGGCGAAAAAAUCGGUCAGACACCCGAGAAGAAUAGUGUACGUUUCUUUUGAUAUUCGCGACACCGUAAAUGUUCCGCGAUAAACCGUACACUGCCGAUGUAGUAAGCACGAUAAGAUGCUAUUUUUUAAAAUUUAUAUCGCGUGUUAAGACACAGCGGAAACGCAGUGAAACGUGGCUCUCACGAGAAGAACGACACUUCAGCUUCGGUUAUCACCGAAAAAAUUUUUGUUUCUGUCCGAUACCGCUUUAUCCUUAUUAUCACUGCGGUUACUACUGUUAGUCGCUACCUGUAUUGUCUGCCACUGAUCGAGAUAUUUAUGCGCGCAACAACAUCGCGCUGUUACCGUUAUCGCUACACUAUCAACGUUGUCACGACUAAUGUGAUCACCGUUACUAUAUCUUUUUCCUGUUGCUUCGAAUGAUAUCGUCGAAUGAUAUCAUACACACAUAUGGAUUGCAGAAACAGUAGAGUUGAGAAUUGUUGUUUAGAAAAAUCCCGUUUUGCUCUCUUGGCGUGGCUCUUUAAUAUUCACGUUACAUAAACUAUCAAGAAUUAUGCAGUUAAUGUAGAUAAAUUGAAAUGAGGCAUUAAAUCACUUUAUUACCGUAAACAAGAUCAGUCUUGAUUUACAACGGAGUUUCACAUACUGCGUUUAAAAAAGAAAAAAUUAAGCGCAGCGAGUUUUAGCGAAUUUCAGAAAAAUAAAUGAUUGUCAAGAUUUGUAUUUUUUAAACGUAUAUUAUUUUAUCGAUUUAAUAUUUGGACAUAAUCGAAAUUGCUAAAAUGAUUCGUCAAAAGUUUCAAAUUAAGUUUGCUUGCUUUUUUUUCCAAGUAUUGGAUUCGAUUAACAUAUUUAAAAUUACAAAUUAAGAAACUAAGCGAUAAACGCAGUACGUCACUUUUGCCAAUCAAAAAACUCAUUCCUGGAUAAAUUUUAAUUAAUCCUUUUUUUUUACCAAGGAGUAACCGGUUUUUAUAACGAAUUUGGCAAGUCUGUUCGAAAUCGAUGAUUAAAAGUAACAUUCGCGCACGGAAAUAGCCGUUUACACAGAAGAUACAUGAAUACCUAACAAAUUGAUUGUUCGCGCUCGUACGACGUACGGCGGUGUCCUUCGAAUGUUGGCGCGAAAUCGAUCAGGCACCUUCGCGAUUAUUAUCAGGAAGCGAUCGCAGUGCAUACGCCGGUCGCGCAUUGUUACACAUAACUUCUUUCUGUCGGUUAUGUCGUAAUGCGCGAUUCGCGCGUUUCGAACCACGACGACCGCGUACUUUGCAUUCCUCGCAUACAUCGACUCGCUUGGUGCGCGAGCUGCGAGCUCAUUGCAACUCGCUCUUGCACACGAGCACGUACGAGCGCACAAGCACGAAUACAGCUCGAAGCGUUGAGCCGCGCUUCUGCUCGAGCUGGAGCGCGUGUUCUUCACCUACGUAUAUGUGUACGAGUUACCGUAUUUCUCUUAAUUACCACAAUGAUCGAGUAGCAUAUAGGUAAACGUUCGCGUUCUAUCUUUAUUUCUUACUCUUUAAUUAUUAUUCUAAUUAUUAUCAUCUUUUACCAUUAUUAUUUUUAUCAUUAAUCUAUUGUAUUAUUAUUAUCAUCUUUAUUUCAAUUAUUAUUAUUAAUAUAAUUCUUGUUUUUCAUUGUUACUCGUUUAGUGUAUUUCGAGACUCUCUUUCUCUCGCGGCUCUUCUUCGUUAAGACGCCGAAUUUCGUUAUGAGGAUGACGAGUAUGAAAGCGAGAACGAGCGGGAGGAGAUAGUCGAAGAUGCGUGUUCUUUUAGAGAGUAAAGAGGUGAGAACGCGUGCGUGCACGGGGAAGGAUGCGAGUGUUUCUUUUUUUUUCUUUUUUUUUCUUUUUUUUCUUUUAGUACAAAUGCGUGUGCGAGAGACAAGCGGGACUGAAGGAGAAGCGAAGAAAGAGAUAAGAGAUAUAUAUACAUACGAUAUAUAAAUAAAUAUAUAUUUUUGUACCUUUUAUCUCGAGGAAAAUCGACACCUCGAUAAUCGAGACGCUCGCGAUCGACCGUGAUCGACGCCGCGCGUCCGAUGGCGGGCUUACCGUAUCAUAUAUCUCUCUCUCCUCGUCAUGAUCCCCGUGACCUUUUCCUAUUGGAACGCAACGAUCCAUAAGGCCGAUAAAGAGUUCGUUACUUGAGGUCACGUUCGGAAGAGCGCGUCAAUAAUUUCUAUUAUUGUAUUAAUCGUGAAUCGUCGCAAUUGUCGCCGUAUGUCUGAACGUUACCCCGACUAAGUUCCACGGCGUUGGUAACGAGAUUCUAAUUCCGGAAACUGUCUCUUAAAUUAAUUUUUCCUUCCGCUCCCGUGCGAAUCGUAGGUAGAUUGUAACUGUUUUUCUUUUUUUUUUUCUUUCUACAACAAAAAUGAUAAGUGCGAGAGAAAUAAAGAAUAUGGAACAAGCUGUCGAGCGUUGGCGGUAGCCCUUUUUGUCCCGUCACCUCCUUCACCGCUUCCUUUGUGUCAGUCUUCAAGGAUAACGCAAUAGAACUAUUUUGUCGUCCGUGAACGGCUUCUCGACUUUCUAUGAUUGAGUCAUUUCUAAAUGCGAUGCUUUUUUUCCGCCCUCUUUCUUUUGCCCCGCUGCCUUUUUGAUCGUUUUGAGAACGAGAUCCGAUCGAUUUCUUUAUUCCAACAAUAAAAUGUAUACUCAAUAAAGAGAUUCUUUGAUUUUUA